GAUGAACGCUGGCGGCGUGCCUAAUACAUGCAAGUCGAGCGAAGCGGGGACGGGUGAGUAACACGUGGAUAACCUCCUAUAAGACUGGGAUAACUUCGGGAACCCGGAGCUAAACCGCAUACUUAUAGAUUGAUCCUCGCUGCAUUAGCUAGUUGGUAAGGUAACGGCUUACCAAGGCAACGAUGCAUAGCCGACCUGAGAGGGUGAUCAGCCACACUGGAACUGAGACACGGUCCAGACUCCUACGGGAGGCAGCAGUAGGGAAUAUUCCGCAAUGGGCGAAAGCCUGACGGAGCAACGCCGCGUGAGUGAUGAAGGUCUUCGGAUCGUAAAGCUCUGUUAGUAGGGAAGCGGUACCUAAUCAGAAAGCCACGGCUAACUCCGUGCCAGCAGCCGCGGUAAUAC
rnacentral:rRNA from 1 species